rnacentral:rRNA from 1 species
ACAGUGGACGCGAGCAUCUGUGGCCAAGUUUUUAAGGGCGCACGGUGGAUGCCUUGGCACCAGGAACCGAUGAAGGACGUGGGAGGCCACGAUAGUCCCCGGGGAGUCGUCAACCAGGCUUUGAUCCGGGGGUUUCCGAAUGGGGAAACCCGGCAGUCGUCAUGGGCUGUCACCCGCUGCUGAACUCAUAGGCAGUGUGGAGGGAACGCGGGGAAGUGAAACAUCUCAGUACCCGCAGGAAGAGAAAACAACCGUGAUUCCGGGAGUAGUGGCGAGCGAAACUGGAUGAGGCCAAACCGUAUGUGUGUGAUACCCGGCAGGGGUUGCGCAUGCGGGGUUGUGGGAUCUCUCUUCCACGGUCUGCCGGCCGUGGGACGAGUCAGAAACCGUUGAUGUAGGCGAAGGACAUGCGAAAGGUCCGGCGUAGAGGGUAAGACCCCCGUAGUCGAAACGUCAGCGGCUCGUUUGAGAGACACCCAAGUAGCACGGGGCCCGAGAAAUCCCGUGUGAAUCUGGCGGGACCACCCGCUAAGCCUAAAUAUUCCCUGGUGACCGAUAGCGGAUAGUACCGUGAGGGAAUGGUGAAAAGUACCGCGGGAGCGGAGUGAAAUAGUACCUGAAACCGUGUGCCUACAAGCCGUGGGAGCGUCGCGCA